UGGGGAAUAUUGGACAAUGGACCAAGAGUCUGAUCCAGCAAUUCUGUGUGCACGAUGAAGUUUUUCGGAAUGUAAAGUGCUUUCAGUUGGGAAGAAGAAAGUGACGGUACCAACAGAAGAAGCGACGGCUAAAUACGUGCCAGCAGCCGCGGUAAUACGUAUGUCGCAAGCGUUAUCCGGAUUUAUUGGGCGUAAAGCGCGUCUAGGCGGCUAAAUAAGUCUGAUGUGAAAAUGCGGGGCUCAACUCCGUAUUGCGUUGGAAACUGUAUAGCUAGAGUACUGGAGAGGUAAGCGGAACUACAAGUGUACAGGUGAAAUUCGUAGAUAUUUGUAGGAAUGCCGAUGGGGAAGCCAGCUUACUGGACAGAUACUGACGCUAAAGCGCGAAAGCGUGGGUAGCAAACAG
rnacentral:rRNA from 1 species